GAGAAUGUAUUUGAAAGUCUAAGGUCCCUUGACGUUGGUCAUAACCAACUGGUGGGAAAGCUUCCAAGAUCUUUGAUCCAUUUCUCUGCCCUUGAAGUUCUUAAUGUGGAAAGAAACAGAUUCAACGACACCUUUCCGUUUUGGUUGAGUUCUCUACCAAAGCUACAAAUUCUUGUCUUACGCUCCAAUGCAUUCCAUGGACGGAUACAUCGAGCCUCCUUCCUUCAGUUAAAAAUCAUGGACAUCUCGCAUAAUUACUUCAACGGAGUUUUGCCAUCGGAUUACUUUGUGAACUGGAGUAAAUUGUCAUCACUUGGGACAGAAAAAGAUCGGUCGGAUGUAAACUACAUGGGAGAAGGUACCUAUUACGAAGAUUCAAUGGUUUUGAUGAAUAAAGGUGUAGCAUUAGAGCUGGUACGUAUCCUGAAAAUCUUCACAGCACUCGACUUCUCCGGAAAUAGAUUUGAAGGAGAAAUUCCAAGGUCCAUCGGCCUAUUGAGAGAGCUUCAUGUGCUCAACUUGUCAAACAAUGCUUUCACUGGCCACAUUCCAUCAUCUAUGGGUAACCUGACAGCUCUCGAGUCACUAGACGUUUCUCAAAACAAGCUUUCAGGAGCGAUCCCACAAGAGCUAGGGAAUCUCUCGUACCUUUCUUCCAUGAACUUUUCCCAUAACCAGCUUGUCGGUCUUGUACCUGGAGGCACUCAGUUCCGAACGCAGUCUUGCUCUUCCUUCGAAGACAACCCUGGACUUUUUGGCCCUUCUCUUGACGAAGUUUGCAAAGAUAUACACAAGACAUCAUCGCAAGAGAAUGAAACACCGGAGGAGGCAGAGGAAGAAGACGAAGAGGUGUUUAGUUGGAUUGCAGCUGCAAUAGGAUUUGGACCUGGCAUUGUAUUAGGAUUGACGAUUGGAUACAUAUUGGCCUUCUACAAACCGAGGUGGUUCACGAGUCCUUUUGGCCGAAACAAACACAGAAGCAGAAGCACCACAGCUCAUUAAGAGAGGUAAUCUUCUGAAUUUCAUAGAUUAAAGACUAUUGUAUAGUAUAAUGAAAUUUUCUGGGUUAAUGUAUAUUGUAUGUGAAAAUUAACGCUGUUUUUGUUUGUAUAGCGUUCUUAAACCCAAGAUGAAGAAUCUUUGAAAAACAGAAUGAAGCAACCAGACCAUAGGUAGAGAAGAAGCUUGGGGGAGAAGGCAACUCAUUUUAUCAAAGUCUAAAUAUCAGUGAUUGUUUUUGGUUUAGUUUGGUGUGUUUAUCAUAUACUCUGUUUUUAGCCAAUGUUUGUGUUUCUCUGUAAUUGAACAAUGAAAGAUUGUUUACAAAGCUCAAACUUAUUCUUAUUUAUUAGAUAAACAUGAUUUGAGAGAGGUAAUAAUGUUCUUGCUCCGACUAAAUCAAUUAUUCUUCUGCCAAAUGAAGAACUAAGAUUCAACACACAUCUCAGAACAUUGAUCCUUAUUCUCUUUUGGUAAUAUUAAUUAGCUGAGUAAAAUGAUAACUUACUUAGCUUAUUGACAGAUAUUUCACUUAGCAGAUAGAUAUAUUAGUUAGCUGCGAUCAAGAUCACCGACCAGUUAAAGCUAUAGAUAUACAGGCUUAAAACCCAAGCUUUGCCAUCAGAAUGAGAGAAAAAAAAUCAUCUCACAAAUCAUUCCACUUUCCAACUACUGAAACUCUUCAAUAGUCAAAUGACUCAAAUCUGAAUAAGAGAGUAUACAUACACACAUACUUAAGUCCUAAAUCUUGUUUAUAAAUGUAACAAAAAUAACCCAUCAUUUUUAACCAAAAACAUUGAACGAAGAAAUUACCCUAUGUUUAUCUGAUAUGAUUGUGAUGUAUCUGCCAUCACCAAGUCCUAAAUCUUGUUUAAGGUGAUUAACGAACCAUCCCCAGUUGAUGUCGUUUUCGAUCUCCACUACUGCCCACGCUAUAGGAACAAUUCUAUUAUCUCCAUCCCUUCCAACUGCAGCUAUCAAUAGGCCUUUAACAUCCCAUUUAAGGAAUGCACCAUCUAGUCCUAUGAUAGGUCUGCAAUGUGUUUUCCAAGUGACUCGUUGUGCUUCAAAACAGACAUAAAUACGAUCAAACCUUUGCUUGCUUCCGGGUGUUGGCCCUGGAAUAGUCUGAAUAUCCAUAAUGGUUCCUUUAUUAGUCUUAUGAAUCUCUGCUUCGUAAUCCCAGAUUCGAGCAAAAUGUGUUCCAUGGCCUGCUCGUCUUUGCCUAGUAAUUUUGGUCUAAAUUACUAGGCUAGGUCAGUAUCUAAUUUGGCUAGGUCAAUAUAAGUUCGGGUGUUUUUUGGCUUAUUACAAAGUUUGUAUUUUUUUUUGGCAAAAUCAUAUAAGUUUGGUAUUUAGAUGACCGAUUUCCCUACACACAUACUUAAGGGUCACGAUGACAAAAUCUUCGGUUUAACCAAUAAGAGUAUUCAUCAAAAGACAUCUUAUAAACCAAUGGAUUAUAUUUUAAAAACUUGGUGAAAACAAACAAGAAAUUUAUCAAUAAAAUACAAGAACACUGGGUCAAUAACUGCUUAAUUCUUUUUUUUUUUUAAAAAAACAAAAGGUAAAUGAUGCAAUUGAUAGUAUAAUCUACACUACUCUAUACUCCACUGUUUUACUUUUUUUAUUUUAAGUACACAACUUUUUGUUAUUUUUUAUUCUUGGGAGAUGUAUAUCCUAUAAACAAAACUGUGUUAAAUGGAAGGACUUGAUAGACACCAAAACCAGAAGAGAAACGAAAACAAACGGCUCAAACUUGACAGUAUAAAAUAUCUACUGUUAAAACAUCAUCCAAAAUUUAUAAAUUAACGAUUGAGAAAUAUUUUGAUAAAAAAUAUAAUUCGAUAAUAUUGAUCAGAUUACAGCAUCACAAAGUCAGUGAACAAAUCAUAUAAAACAAACUUGAAUAAAGAAAAUUGUAUCAUGCCAAUUGCCAAAAGAAACCAAACAAAUAAAUAGAUAACAGAAAGUAGAAACAUUGACUGACCGAUUACUAAGUUCUGGACAAAAGACGAAGACUUGAAAAGUCAACUUCAGUCUUCUUCCUUAUUGUCCCACCAAUAAUUUUACUUUUUCUCCUUCAAUCUCAUCUUCUUCCUCAAUCCUCUGAACAUCGACCACAUGUUUCUUCAUCCAUUGACCUCAAAUACUUGAUUUUCACUAUCGACUCUCUUUCUUUCUCUCUCUCUCUAGAUUUUCCGUCAAAGCUAUGGAGAAACUCUGUCUUCGAAACUCUGUUUCUCUCAUGACGAUGGUGGUUAUUGUUCUUCUUCCUCGUUGCACUCUUUCUACUACUUCUACAUAUUCUCGUCCCGAGAAGUUGUACGUCAACUGUGGGUCGGAUUCUAAUGUCACUUACGGUAACCGGACUUUUGUCGGAGAUAUGAUCUCUGGUGGUAACUCCGUUUCAUUCACCAAGAAAGGAACUGAAGCCAUCAACCAAUCAGGAUCAGGAAUCUACGAAAUGGUUAGGAUAUUCACAAGCCCUUCUUCUUACAAGUUCCAACUCGAUUCCGUUGGUCUGCACUUCGUGCGUCUCCAUUUCUCUGCUGUCUCUUCUCGGACACAGCUUUUAGCUGCUCGUUUCACAAUCUCAGCUACUUCUCACUUGAAAAGUUUCUCGCUUCAGAAUUUCAAUGAGACCCCACGAGUUGAGGAGUUUCUCCUGAUGAUUGACUCGCCGGAAUUCGAAAUUCGAUUUGUGCCCGAUCAUUCAUCCAUGGCUUUCGUCAACGCCAUCGAAGUGUUCUCUGCUCCAGAUGACCUAGAAAUUCCGUCAGACUCCGACAAGAAUCUGCAUACGGUUUACAGAUUAAACGUAGGAGGCAAGAAGAUCACACCAGAAAACGACACCUUGGGAAGAACUUGGUCAUUAGACGAUGACUUCCUCUACGAAAAAGAUUCUGCGAGGAACAUUAACUCAACACAAAAGCCUAACUAUGAGUCAGGAACAGUGACGCAAUUCACUGCUCCUGAUUUCGUCUAUCAGACAGCUAAAACGAUGAACCAUAGCUCGAACGAGGGGGUGGUAGAGGGAAUGUUGAUGAACGUCACUUGGUCAUUUAAGGUCAAAAGCAGCUCAAGACACUUCAUCAGGGUUCACUUCUGUGAUAUCAAGAGUGAAUCACAAAAUCCCGACUCCGAUUUCUAUCUCUAUGUAAACGGACAAUCACGACUAGAUGUAAAGCCUUCAGAGCGUNNNNNNNNNNNNNNNNNNNNNNNNNNNNNNNNNNNNNNNNNNNNNNNNNNNNNNNNNNNNNNNNNNNNNNNNNNNNNNNNNNNNNNNNNNNNNNNNNNNNAUAUAAAUCAUAAAUAUUAUUUAUUUAAAAUUCUACUUGAAAAGCCUUUAAAUAAAGUAACUUAAACUUGUAUAAGUAGUAUAUUUUAUAUAUAUAAAAAAUAAAUUUGUAACUAAAAAAGUGAUAAUAGAGAUUUUAAUAUUAUGGUGGUUUAUUUUUGUUGUUAAUGGAGAUUUUUUAUUUUUAACCAUAAUAUUAGGAUUUGGAAACUUUUUUGAAUUUUUAAAUGUUGAUAUGGAUGCCUUAAAAAUAAUAUGGCUAAACUGUUAUUAAUAAUAGAAUAGUUUAAAUUACAAAUUUUCCUAUAUUGUUUUGUAUUACCAAUGUAAUUUUAUAAUUUAAAAACUUUUUAAAUUUUAAUUAUUGAUGUAGACUAAAAACAUUGACCUUUUACAUGUUAUGUGGAUGUCUUUGGAAGCAUAUAGCUUCAGCUUUUAUUUUUCUAUAAAUAUUUUUUUUGUUAACAAUACAGUUUUAAAAUUUGAAAAUUUUCUAAAUUUUAGAUAUUGAUAUAAACCAAUAGAAUUGAAAUUUUAAAUCCUAUGUGGACACUCUUAGAGGUAUAUAGCUUCAGGUUUUAUUUGUAAUAUAUUUAGAUAUUAACACUGGAAGAUCCCACACGAGGCCCAUUGCGGUAAGUGAUUUUGGUUUCUCCUCUAUGUUUUGAGGCUUACGGAAUGUAUUCUGAUACUGUUUGAUUCAGCUAAUUGUUACCUUUGUGGUUCAGGUUGGAUUGCUAAACCCUUGUCAGACACCAUGUUAUUCCAAAGAUUUUCCUCGGAUACCUCAGUCUCUUCGCCUUAAUGCAGAACUUCUUUCUCUAUUUCUAGUGGUUCGUUUUUCAAAAAUUUUGGGUAUCAAUCACUUGACAUGUUUCUCGGAUUACUUGAAAUUUAUCAUUCUUCUCAAAUCUGGUGGCAAAACUUUAGAGAUUUUACAGUCUCUUUUUCAAUAUUAAAACAGCUUGUAGUGUCUUUGUUUUCAUCAUAAUCAUUUUAAUUUAGCUAAUAGUUAAACAUAUAGUUUAGUCAAGUUGGUUCUUAAUUUUACAUUGUAAUGAUUCAUUCUUUAGUGAAACCUAUCUCUAUUUUUUUGCUUUUUUAAUUGAAAUGGUUGUACAUACAUAAAAAAAACUUAAAAUUUAUUAUAGUUAUGUGAAAAAAAUUUGGAUGCUAAUGUAGGAGUAUGUAAAUAAAUUUAAAUAUUUUAUUUGUUCUUAAUUAUUUAUAUAAUUGAAACAUCUAACUUAAAUUUAAAUUUUCCUAUUUUAAAAUAUUUAUUUUAUUUUUAUUAUUAUUAAUAUAAAUUAUAUAUAUAAUUUAUUCAUCUUUAAUAAAAUUUUAAAACAAUAAUAGAAUUUAGAAACUUUUUUUAUUUUUAAUGUUGAGGUGGACCAAUAAAAAAUUUAUACAAAAUUUCUUUAUUAAACAAUAAUAUUAGAAUUUGUAAACUUUCUUAAUUUUUUUAUUUAACACUAAUAUUAAAAUUUGGAAAUUUUCUUAAUUUUGAAUGAUGAUGUGGACCAAUAAAAUUCUUAAUUUCCUUAUUUAAUAAUAAUAUUAAAAUUUGUAAAUUUUCCUAAUUUUGAAUGAUAAUGUGGGCCAAUAAAAUUGUAUUUUUUAAUCCUAUGUGAACGCCUUGAAAAGCUUAUAGCUUCAUGUUUUAUUAGUAUAAGAUUAUAUGCAAAUCUUAUAUUUUGCGUCCAUGCUAUGCGUGGAUAUUUGGUCGAUAAAAAUUAUAUUUAUCAAUAUAAAAAUUUUCUAUAUUAAUGUUUUAAUUAUAUAUUUAAAAUAUUAUAAUGUUAAUCUAAUAAUUUUUAUGUAAAUUAUAAGGUUUUAACGGUUUUUUUAAUCUAUAUAUAAUAUGUUAUAUUUCAAAAACGUAUUAUUUGGUCAAACACUUAUAAGUAAAAUUUUACAAAUUAAUCAAAUGCUAAUUUUAAAUAUAGUAUUGACAUGAUGAUAAAAUAUUAUACAUUCACUUUUUUAAAUCAUGAAGAUAUUUUUUUUUAUCAUUUUCACUUUUAUUUCAAUUAUAUAUGUGUUUUUUAAAAACAAUAAAAAUAAUUAUAUUUAAUUUUUUUUCCUUCUCUUGUAAUUAACUAAUAAAUAAAAUAUUUGCUUUUGAGGUUAAUAAUAACUAUAAACUUGAAAUCAAAACAGCAUAUGAAUAUAAAAUGAAUAAAAUCACUAAAAAUUUUUGAAUUAAAUAUAUUUUUGAUAAUUGGUUGUGUAAAAUUUUAAAUAAUUUUUUAAUUAUUAUUCCUCAUCUCUUCUAAUGAGAAUGAAAAAAAAUUUCAUCAUGUUCAUUUUUAUUUUUGUUAUAUCUGUUUUUUUAUGAAUAUGUCAUAUUUGUAUAUUUUAAUGAUUUGUGUAUGACUAUAUUCAGUUUCAUCAUAUUCAUUUUUACUUCUUUGAAUUAUAAUUAAGUAGGCAAAAUCGGUAUAAUUAAAUACAUUUAAUUUUUUAAAAAAAAAAAAAAUUGAACAACUCAAAACAAAGAGUUUCUACAUUAAUCUAUUGCAAUUCCAAGUCGAAUUUUUUUUAAAAAAAGAAAAUUUUGAUUAUUUUUCAGUAAUAUAUUACAUAAUAUUAUGUGAAUAUAUGUAUUGCAUAUGUUAAAACAUUUAUAUGAAUAUAAAUUAUAAUUAUUAGUUAUUUAAAAUUCAAUGUGAAAACCCUUAAAAUCAAGUAACUAAACUUGUAUAAGUAGCAUAUAUUUGUUUUGUAGAUGAUAAAUUAUAUUUGUAACUUAAACAGUGUUAAUGGAGAUUUUAAUAUCAUUUUGGUUUUUUGUGUUGUUAACAGAGAUUUCUUUAUUUUUUAAUUUAUUUUUUAACUAUAAUAUUAGAAUUAAGAGUUUUUUAAUUUACAUUUUUGUUAUAUACAAAUAAAAUUGAUAAUAGAAUAAUAUAACUUUAACUAUUAUUAAUAAUAGAAUAAUUUUAACUAACACUUUUACCUAAAUUGUUUUGUAUUAACAAUAUAAUUUUAUAAUUUAGAAUUUUUUUAAAACUUUAGUUAUUAAUGUAGACUAAUAAAAUUGACCUUUUAAAUCUUAUGUGUAUGUCCUUACAGGCAUAUAGCUUCAAAUUUUAUUUUUCUAUAAAUAUAUUUUUUUGUUAACAAUAUAAUUUUAAAAUUUAGAAAUUUUUUUAAAUUUAAAUAUUAAUAUGGACUAAUAAAAUUAAACUUUUAAAUCAUAUAUGGAUAUUCUUAGAGAAAUAUAGCUUUAAAUUUUAUUAAUAAUAGAUUUAGGAAUCAAACAUGGAGGAUGCCACACAAGGCUCGUUGCGGUAAUUGAUUUUGAUAUUUUCUCCUUGUUUUGAGGUUUACCGAAUGUAUUUGGAUGAUGUUUGGUCAGCUAAUUGUUACUUUUAUGGUUAAAAUUAGAUUUUUAAAAUCCUAUAAAAUGCCAUGUUAUUUUAAAAAAAAUUUUCGGAUAUCUUAGUCUCAUUCGUCUUAAUGACAAAACUUCUUUCUCUAUUUUCAGUGUUUUGUUUUUCAAAAGUAUCGAGUAUCAAUCACUUGACAUGUUUCUUGGAUUGGUUGGAAUUUAUCAUUCUUCUCAAAUUUGAUGGCUAAGCUUUAGAGAUUUUAUGAUCUUUUUUUCAAUAUUAAAGCGGCUUGUAGUGACUUUGUUUAUAUCUUCUUUCAUUAUAUUCUUUGUAAUUUAGCUAAUAGUUAAAAAUAUAAUUUAGUCAAGUUGAUUGUAUUUUUUUGUUUUUGUUAAUUUGAAAUAGUUGCACACAUAGAAAAAUUGGACGCUAAUGUAAGAGUCUCUAAAUAUGUAUGUAUAAAUCUAAUUUAAAUUUAUAUUUUCAUAGUUUAAUAUUAUUAUUUUAGUUUUUAUUAAUAUAAAUUUUAUAUAUGAUUUAUUUAUCUUUAAUAAUUUUUAAAAACAAUAAUAAAAUUUAGAAACAUUUAAAUUUUCAAUAUUGAGGUGGACCAAUAAAAAUUUUAUACAAAAAUUUCCUUAUCCAUCAAUAGUAUUAAAAUUUGUAAACUUUCCUAAUUUUCUUAUUCAGCAAUAAUUUUAUAACUUGUAAAUUUUCCUUAAUUUUGAAUGUUGAUGUGGACCAAUAAAAUUACUCUUUUAAAUCCUAUGUAAAAACCCUUAGAGCAUGGCAGUUUUACACAGGUUCUAAGGUGGGGUUUAUAAGUUUUUUGGAUUUUAAAAAAAUGAAAAAAGCCCAAUAUCUCGUGAACCGGUUCUUGUUUUAGAGUUUUUGGAGACUGUAUUUAGAAGGGUUCAUAAGUGACGUGUCUGCUUCUCAUUCGUUCAACAAGAAAUUUUUUUACGCUCUCUCUCCUCUUCCACUUUCUCUGGUUUUUCGUUUAUGUCGACAUUUAUUUCUCCUCUUCCAACCACGAUUUUUUCUCUGGUGAUUUCAGAUCAUGGGCUAAAAAAAUGAAAGCUUUGCAUGAACCCACUUGAAAAAGAGCUGGGAUUUUCAUUGGAAUCAAAGCAUCACUCUUUCCUCGAUCAUUGUUACAAAUCGAACAGACGGUAAUGCCGGAGGCUCAAUUCCGAGAUAAAUUUGAUCACGUCGAUUUCUUUCUGGUUUGUUACGUGUUUGAACUGCCAAACCAAUUCAUUCAUUAUAUAAAAUCAAAACCGAGAACAUCAUACUUGAGAUCACUGUUCUUCUUUUGCUUCAUAGUUUGUGAAGGAAAAUUAAACAAAAAAAAUUUUAGAUUUCAUCAAACCCAGUUUAAGAACCUCUAAUGAUGUUCACCAUUGGAGGAAUAAAAAACUUUGGAGUUCUAAACCAUUCUUUAAUCAAAAAUAAAUUAUUAAAAAAUAGCUAUGAACCCCAAGAGGAGGUUCACCAUUACUGGUGCUCUUAGAAACAUAUAGCUUCAACUUUUAUUAGUAUAAGAUGUUUUCUCAUUUUUUUAUUUUAAAAUAUAUCUACUGAUCUACAUAUUUGAUUUACUAAGGUUAUUUUCUUAUAACGUAUCUCGGACUUGGAAAAUAUCAUGAAUGUGAAUUCAAAACAUUGAUUUGACAAACUUUUUCUCUCUCGAAGCUCUUUCGCGUGCUUCCGUCUUGGUGGUCUUCUCCGGUUAUGGCGCUCAUCGCUGGACUGUGAGAAGGCCACCCCAAGGUUAGUUUUGUAAUUCGCGCCCAUCAUCGACGGAAGAGGUUCAUCGGCGGUGGAUUUGGAGGCGACCUAUUCUUCUCUGCAGUACUGUGGCAUGGAAAACCAGCGCGACGAGCGGCUGCGGAAGCUUGGUGGCCUUGACAAAGUGGUGUUGUGGAGUCUCAGUGAUUUGUCUCUGAUCAAGGGCGGCGGAGUGUUUCAUUGGAGAUCUUGCCGCAGUUCUAUCGAGGCUUAGAGAGGCAACUUGUUUUCGCUAGUUUGGUGGGUUGGGCCGUUUGUCGGGGACAGUUCUCCUGGUCGACGGUUGGAUCUACCUAAGGAUGGCGGUUCCUCUCGGUGGUGUUGUCAACUUGUCGGAGUCGGAUACUGUUCCUUACCGGAUUGAAGAUGGUGGUUCACGUGGUAAAAAAGAGGAGAUGUGCAUCGCGCGGCGGUGUUGGUUUCGAAGGAAGAGAAAAUCUGUGUGUCGGUUACUGGAUCUGGUGGUAGUCGACGAUUUGGCCGUGGGUUAUUCCAUGCUUUUGGUCAUGUCACUCCGGGAGUAGGAGUAUUCGGAAUCUUGCUGUGAACGGAUCUGGUUUCCGAAAUUGGACAACCUAGUUUCCAGUUCCUUAAAGGCGACGAUAGCUCUGCGCCGUUCUCGCAUACGCUGGAGGAAGAUAUGCAUGGGCUCGAGCUACUUUUCCCAAUCACAGAUUUAAUCUUAACCUAGUCCAUACGCUUUACCUUAGCCUAUUUCCAAGUCUUUUUUCAUUUUUUUGUUCAGGUUUACCACCGGCGGAGAUGUACUGUUCCGAUACCCUUUUAGGAAUUUUAUUAAUAAAAAUAUAUAUUUUUUUAAAAACAUUCAUUUUGACACGUUUCGACAUUUCAUAGUUUAUAAAACUGUCACAUACUCACAUGGUUUUUGUGAUAUGCUUACAACUAAUAAAUGUCUUUGGUACAAUUGUUUUUCAAUUUUUAGUUCUACCAAUUUUUAUUAUUUUUACGAUAAAAGUUAUCAUUUUAAAAAUAUGUUGAUUGUCACUAGUUCAGUGUUUUAUAUGGGAAAAUGGUCAAAAUUAAUCGAACUAAAUUUGAUGUGUCGAAAAAAAUCCGAACUAAAAUACGGUGCUAAUAACUAUCUAAACUCUAAAUAAUUCAAAUUUCCUAUCUGAAUUCUAAUAUAUGUGUCAAAAUCUAUCUUGACUAACUUUGACAUUAGUAACUGUUAAAAAAUGCUAACGAGGCAUGCUGACGUUGUCAUUUUAAUAAAACGAUAUUUUUUUUGUUGUAAAAAAAAUCAAAAACUUAUCCUCUUACCAGAACUUGACUUUUUAAUUUGUAGUUAAAUGUGUGGACCAGUUGAACCGUGAAACAAUAUUAAUACUUUUUACAAACAUAUUUAUAUAUUAUUGAUAUGCUGCAACAUUACAAUCAUGAGACCUAAAGAGAACAAGUAACAUCCCGUGGAUUAUCAAAGCCAUUACAAAAAGUAACCUGUUUGCUCUAUCGAGAUCUAAAGAGAACGAAUUCUCACCCAAAAUCGAUUUUCUCCUUUUGUUAAGCUUCUUCAAUCUCGUUUUUCUUCUACGGUUUUUUGGUUUUCUCUGCCAGAAUUGGUAGAGAGAGAAUGGAGAAGACGAAGUUGUUGCUGCUGCAAUUCUCCGAACUCAACAUCGAACACAGUUCCCGAUUAAUUGCAGCCUCUCAAUGCUCCAACAAUGGAAUUCGAUGAAGAAGAAGAACUCUCUAACCCUAAUUCGAUUUUGAGGGUGUAUUUUAUCCCCAAUUUAAUAUGUGGUCGUUUCGUUAAUUUUUUUUUUCGAGUUUAGACAUAUAUAUCAAUAACAUAUAAAUGUAUUUGUAAAGAAAAUCAAUAAUAUCUCACGGUUCAGUUGGUCAUUGCUUAAAUGGGGUUUACAAUGGCGCAGAUUGAAGUCCAAGGAAUAGAAAAAAUUUAGAUUUUUUUUAACAACGAAAACGACGUCGUUUUAGUAAGGUGACAACGUGUCAUGCCAAGUCAUAUUCUAUCAUGCCUCGUCAACGUUUUUUAACAGUUGAUUAACGUCAAAGUUAGUCAAAGUAGAUUUUAACACAUAUAUUGGAGUUCGAAUAGGAAAUUUGAAUUAAUUUGGAGUUCAGAUAGUUAUUAGCACCGUAUUUUAGUUUAGAUUUUUUUUAGCAAAUUUAGUUCGGGUUGGUUUUGGCCAUUUUCCCAUGUUUUAUAUAUAUAAGAUUUUAUUGGUUCAUGUGUUUCAAAUAAUAUCGAUCUCCAAUCAAAAUCUUGUUCAUUGGAUUAUCGAUGUAAGAAUUAUCGUCAAUAUCUUAUAUUAUUAGUUUAACAACUUAUAUGUACUUGUUGAAAUCUGGUGUCUUUAAUUCAACACAUCGACAACACCAAGAAAAACAAAAAAAUUGUAAUAUCUAAUGGAUCACUUUUUCCUCAUAAUUUUAUCUUUCUUGGUCUUCUCCAUCCUUUCUCUAAAACGUUUGAUCGGUAGAUGGCGGAACAAGUUUAACUUACCUCCAACUCCAGCUUGGUCACUGCCGGUGAUUGGUGAUUGGUGUAGAAAGUAAAUUUUGAGGAGAUAAAUAUUGCAAUAUAAGAAAACAAAUUGAGACAUAGAAAAACAUUUUAUAAAAGCGGAUUAAGGAAAAAUGAGAAAUGGAGGCGAGAUGAUCUCUUUCCUUAAUUCAAAAUAUCUCCCGCAGUGUGGCGGUUAGAUGAGAUAAUGAAUCCCAUGAUACAACCACUGAUAUUCGUAUAAUCGCAGCACCCGAUUAUUGAUAACACCGGAUUUUGACUAUUUUUAUGGAUCAUUUUAAUAUCUUUUACAGGUGUUUUUACUCCAUUUUCAAAGGUUUUCAAAGGAUUUCUAUAUUUUCGGAUUUUAAAAGACUUUUCAGGUAAUGUGGGAUAAAGAGGCACAAAAUAGAACAAAAAGACUCUUUUGGAUAAAUGCAGACCGUCAGAACUUUCAUGGAGAGACGAAGACCUUCUCACCGUCUGAUCACCCUCAAAAUUGGACAACUUAUAGAAGAAUCAACCAGCUUUCAAAUGCACUUAGUUUGGAGACAUUACAACGGUUGGAUCUCAAGAUAUUCCAUUAGCCCCGGAGCCACGCGGAGUCGGCCAGCAACUCACGCGACCGCGGCCAACAAGCUAUUUGCCGCGGUCAGAAGCUUCCCGAUCGCAGCCAACAAGCCAAUUGCCGCGGUCACAACACUCCCGACCGCGGCAUUCAACCUCCGACUUAAAGCCCACUUAUCUGAAGCCCAAAGUCAUUCCCAGCCUCAAUUCCGGAACCCUAGAGACCAUGGAGUAUUGGAGACUAUAAAUACAUGUCAUUUAGGUCGUUUUUAGAGAGAACCCUAGAUACUUUACAGAAACCCUUUUCUUUUAGCCGUUUUUAUGAGAUUUUUGUAGAAGAUUUUUCAAGUCCGAGUUCUUCAAUAGAGAAGCUUUCUUUAUCUCUUUUCUUUACUGUUUUUCAUUACUUUUAUUAAAACCAAUGAUGAUGUCGAACUCAGCCAUGUCUGAGUAGAUCCCGAGUUGGGCUUAGGGUUCCCGAAAGGGGCUCUCAUAAUCGAUUAAAAAAUUAGAGAUUGAUGUGUUUCUAGGGACAAAAGACGAUGACUUGAAAAAUCAACCCUGGUCUUUUCCCUUAUUGUCCCAUUAGAAAUCUCAGUUUUCUCUUCAAUCUUAUCUUCUUCCUCAGAAUCCUCUUCACAUCGACCACAGGUGUCUUCAUCCAUCGACUUAUUGAAAUUUCUUCUAGUAUAAGUUAAACCAAAAUGUGUGGAAACUGACUAUUCAACACAAAAGACUUUUCACUCUCUUCGUUCAACGUGAAUAACACUUCGUAGCAAAUGACUAGAUGGUGAGCCAAGCGAAGCUGAGUGGAAAUGGAGCACUGACUAUAUGUAUAUAAAGAGAUGGCAUGAAACCAAUUUAACCAUCACAAUUUCCAUUUGGUCGCUUCUUUUUCACUAUUGAUUUUCAAGAAAGUUAAAAAUUAGCUUAAAGAAAUAACGAAAGGCUCUUGAAACUCAAUGAGUACCAUUCAUAUUUCUCUUUCUUUUCUCCUCUUGUUCGUUUUUUAUUUUCAUGACGUGUUUGCGUCUCCUACUAGACACUUGUGUCGUCCAGAACAAAGGGAUGCACUUCUCGAGUUCAAGAAUGAGUUUGAGAUUCGGAAGCUUUCUUUUUUUCAGUGUUAUGUUAAUGGUAGCGUUGUUAUUGGAAUGGUAUCAAGUGCGAUGCCAAAUCUGGGGAAGUGAUCGAGCUAGACCUCAGUUGCAGCUGUCUCUACGGCAAGUUGCGUUCCAAUACCUCUGUUUAGGCUUCACAGCUUUUGUUUUCUCACCACUUUAUACCUUUCAUAUUAGGUCCCCAAAUCCCGUUCUCAAUUGGAAAUCUUUCUCUUCUCACUUCUCUCGACCUUUCUGAAUAUGGGUUUUCGGGUCAGAUUCCAUCUUCAAUUGGAAAUCUUUCACAGCUCACCUCGCUUGAACUUUCUUCCAAUCAGUUUUCGGGUCAGAUUCCAUCUUCAAUUGGAAAUCUUUCACAGAUCACCACUCUCCGUUUUUCCUUUAAUCAGUUUUCGGGUCAGAUUCCGUCUUCAAUUAAAAAGCUCUCUCAUCUCGAAACUCUUGACCUCAGUCAUAACAGACUCACUGGUGAAAUCCCAGAUUCUUUUGCCAGUUUGAAAAAUUUGACCGAGUUAAAUGUUAGUUUCAAUAAGCUUAGUGGUAAUUUUCCAAUUUCACUUCUAAAUUCGAUCAACUCACAGGAACGCUUCCUCCAAACAUUAGCUCACUCUCCAACUUGGAGUGGUUUUAUGCAUAUGACAACGAUAUAGUUGGAACCAUUCCUUCUUCUCUCUUCACCAUUCCUUCUUUGACACAAAUUGAUUUGUCAAAUAACCAACUGAACGGCAUUCAUGAGUUUGGGAAUAUACCUUCACCAACAAAGCUAGUGAGGUUAGAGCUUGGCGGUAACAACUUGAGAGGGCCAAUCCCGAGAUCCAUUUCCAAAUUAGUCAACCUCUAUUACCUUGACCUUUCCAAUUGGAACACCCAAUUAGGCCCAAUUGACUUGAGUAUCUUCUCGCAUCUCAAGUCACUCCGAUUUCUUGGCUUAUCCCAUUUGAACACCACCACUACGAUUGACUUGAAUGCCAUCUUAUCAUUUUUCCAGUCGCUUGGAUCAUUGGAUCUCUCAGGGAAUCAUGUUUCAGCCGAAAACAAGAGCUCAGUUUCAGAUCCUCCUUCGCAAAUGAUUAGUUCUUUAAACUUGUCAGGCUGCGGUAUUACCGAAUUUCCAGAGAUCAUAAGAACCCAACAGUCUAUGAGAUUUCUAGACAUUUCCAACAACAAAAUCAAAGGUCAAGUGCCUGGCUGGUUAUGGACGCUACCAGAUCUGGAGUACGUGGAUCUUUCCAACAACACUUUCGUCAGUUUCGAAAGACCAACGAAACAUGGACUAUCCUCUGCCUUUAUGUACUUGUUUGGCUCCAAAAACAAGUCUAAGGUCCCUUGACGUUGGUCAUAACCAACUGGUGGGAAAGCUUCCAAGAUCUUUGAUCCAUUUCUCUGCCCUUGAAGUUCUUAAUGUGGAAAGAAACAGAAUCAACGACACGUUUCCGUUCUGGUUGAGUUCUCUACAAAACCUGCAAGUUCUUGUCUUACGCUCCAAUGCAUUCCAUGGACCGAUUCAUCGAGCCUCCUUCCUUCAGCUCCUUCCUUCGCAUAAUCACUUCAACGGAACUUUGCCAUCGGACUAUUUUGUGAGCUGGAGUAAAAUGUCAUCACUUGGGACAGAGGAAGGUCGCUCAGAUCUAUACUACAUGGGAAAUGCAUAUUACGAAGAUUCAAUGGUCUUGAUGAAUAAAGGUGUACCAUUAGAGCUGGUACGUAUCCUUGAAAUCUACACAGCACUCGACUUCUCCGGAAACAGGCUUGAAGGAGAGAUUCCAAGCACCAUCGGCCUAUUGAAAGAGCUUCAUGUGCUCAACUUGUCAAACAAUGCUUUCACUGGCCACAUUCCAUCAUCUAUGGGUAACCUGACAGCUCUCGAGUCACUUGACGUUUCUCAAAACAAGCUUUCAGGAGUGAUCCCACAAGAGCUAGGGAAUCUCUCGUACCUUGAAGUCAUGAACUUCUCCCAUAACGCAGCCUUGCUCUUCCUUCGAAGACAACCCUGGACUUUUUGGCCCUUCUCUUGACGAAGUUUGCAAAGAUAUACACAAGACAUCAUCGCAAGAGAAUGAAACACCGGAGGAGGCAGAGGAAGAAGACGAAGAGGUGUUUAGUUGGAUUGCAGCUGCAAUAGGAUUUGGACCAGGCAUUGUAUUAGGACUGACGAUUGGAUACAUAUUGGCCUUCUACAAACCGAGGUGGUUCACGAGUCCUUUUGGCCGAAACAAACACAGAAGCAGAAGCACCACAGCUCAUUAAGAGAGGUAAUCUUCUGAAUUUCAUAGAUUAAAGACUAUGUAUAAUAUAACGAAAGUUUCUGGGUUAAUGUAUACUGUAUGUGAAAAUUAACUUUUUACGCCGUUUUUGUUUGUAUAGCGUUCUUAAACCCAAGAUGAAGAAUCUUUGAAAAACAGAAUGAAGCAACCAGACCAUAAGUAGAGAAGAAGCUUGGGGGAGAAGGCAACUCAUUUUAUCAAAGUCUAAAUAUCAGUGAUCGUUUCCGGUUUAGUUUGGUGUGUUUAUCAUAUACUCUGUUUUUAGCCAAUGUUUGUGUUUCUCUGUAAUUGAACAAUGAAAGAAUGUUUACAAAGCUCAAACUUAUUCCCAUUUCUCUGUGAUUGGACAUGAUUUGAGAGAGGUAAUAAUGUUCUUGCUCCGAAUAAAUCAAUCAUUCUUCUGCCAAAUGAAGAACUAAGAUUCAACACACAUCUCAGAAAAUUGAUCCUUUUUCUCUUUUGGUAAUAUUAAUUAGCUGAGUAAAAUGAUAACUUAAUUAGUUUAUUGAAAGAUAUUUCACUGAGAAAUAUAUUAGUUAGUGGCGAUCAGGAUCAGCGACCAAUUAAAGCUAUAGAUAUAGUUGCUUAAAACCCAAGCUUUGCCAUUACAAUGAGGAAAAAUCAUCUCACAAAUCAUUCCACUUUCCAACUAAUGAAACUCUACAAUAGUCAAAUGACUCAAAUCGGAAUUAGAAAGUAUACAUACACACAUAAUUUAAGGUCACAAUGACAAAAUCUUCGGUCUUACCAAUAAGAGUAUAAGUAUUCAUCAAAAGACAUCUUCUAAAAUGGAUUAUAUUAAAAAAAUUUGGUGAAAACAAACAAGAAAUUUUUACUGCUUAAUUCUUUUUGUUUUUAAAAACCAAAAGGUAAAUGGAAGUCGCUCUAAUUUUUACUUAUAAACCAAAACAAGAAAUUUUCAGUUAUAUCGUUCUAAGAUAAUGCAAUUGAUAGUAUAAUCUAUACUACUCUAUACUCCACUGAUACUUUUUCGUUUUUAAGCAGACAACUUUUCAGAGUACAAAUCUUUUGUUAUUUUUAUUCCUGGGAGAUGUAUAUCCUAUAAACAAAACUGUGUUAAAUGGAAGGACUUCAUGGACACCAAAACCAGAGGAGAAACGAAGACAGACGGUUUAGAAAUAUUUUGAUCACAUCAAAAAAAUAUAAUUCGAUAAUUUUUAUCAGAUUACAGCAUCACAAAGUCAGUGCAAAAUCAUAUAAAAAAAAUUCGAAUAAAGAAAAAACGUAUCAUGCCAAACGAAACCAAACAAAUAAAUAGAUAACAGUUGACUGACCGAGUCAGUCAUGGACAAAAACGAAGACUUGAAAAGUCAACUCCGGUCUUCUUCCUUAUUGUCCCACCAAUAAUUUACUUUUUUUCCUUCAAUCUCAUCUUCUUCCUCAAUCCUCUCAACAUCGAUCACAUAUUUCUUCAUCCAUUGACCUCAAAAACUUGAUUUUCACUAUUGACUCUCUUUCUUUCUCUCUCUCUCUAGAUUUUCCAACAAAGCUAUGGAGAAACUCUGUUUUCGAAACUCAUUUUCUCGCUUUAUGACGACUGUGGUCAUUGUUCUUCUUCCUCGUUGCACUCUUUCUGCUACUUCUACAUAUUCUCAUCGUCCCGAGAAGUUUUACGUCAACUGUGGGUCGGAUUCUAUUGUCACUUAUGGUGGUCGGACCUUCGUCGGAGAUAUGAUCUCCGGUGGUAACUCCGUUUCUUUCAACAGUAAAGGAACUGAAGCCAUCAACCAAUCAGGAUCAGGAAUCUAUGAAACGGUUAGGAUAUUCAGACGCCCUUCUUCUUACAAGUUCCAACUCGAUUCCAUUGGUCUGCACUUCGUGCGUCUCCAUUUCUCUGCUGUCUCUUCUCGGACAGAGCUUUUAACUGCUCGUUUCACAGUCUCAGCUACUUCUCACCUGAAAAGUUUCUCGCUUCAGAAUUUCAAUGAGACCCCACGAGUUGAGGAGUUUCUCCUGAUGAUUGACUCGCCAGAAUUCGAAAUUCGAUUUGUGCCCUAUCAUUCAUCCAUGGCUUUUGUCAACGCCAUCGAAGUGUUCUCUGCUCCUAAUGACCUCGAAAUUCCGUCAGACUCCGACAAGAAUCUGCAUACGGUUUACAGAUUAAACGUAGGAGGCAAGAAUAUCACACCAGAAAACGACACCUUGGGAAGAACUUGGUCAGUUGACGAGGACUUCCUCUACGAAAAAGAUUCUGCGAGGAACAUUAAUUCAACACAAAAGCCUAACUACGAGUCAGGGACAGCGACGCCAUUCACUGCUCCUGAUUUUGUCUAUCAGACAGCGAAAACGAUGAACCAUAGCUCGAAUGAGGGGAUGGCAGAUGGGAUGUUGAUGAACGUUACUUGGUCAUUUAAGGUCAAUAGCAACUCUAGACACUUCAUCAGGGUUCACUUCUGUGAUAUCAAGAGUGAAUCACAAAAUCCCGACUCCGAUUUCUAUCUCUAUGUAAACGGACAAUCACGACUAGAUGUAAAGCCUUCAGAGCGUAUUAGGUUGGUGACUCCGUUUUUCAAAGAUGUGAAUGUCUCUGAUGGUUUUGGACUCUUGAAUGUUACAAUAGGUACUAAGGAUUCCACUAAGGAUGCUGGUUUUCUGAAUGGUCUGGAGGUGAUGGAGUUUUUGAAAAAGUCAGAUUCUUCAGAUAAAAGUAGUUUCCGGGUUUACAUCAUCGCUGGCUGUGUUGUUGCUGCAUCGGUUCUGGUAUUGAGUUUGUUGUUCACAGUUUUCUUGAAGCGGAGGAGAUCGAAGAAGGAGAAUAAGUCAGACGCUGAGGUCACUGAAUGGUCUCCUUUGCCAUUGUACAGAGGUGGUGGGAGUUCCGACAAUAGACCUUCUGAUCCGGUCAACAAUUCUCCAUUACGCAGCAAUAGAACUUUUGAUCCGGUCCAUAAUUCGCCAUUACGCAACCUAAACUUAGGCUUGACCAUUCCCUUCAUAGACAUUAUGAGAGCUACAAACAAUUUCGAUGAGCAGUGGUUGAUCGGGAGAGGCGGUUUUGGAGACGUUUACAAAGCCAUUCUUCAAGAUGGAAGCAAAGCGGCUAUCAAGAGAGGCAAGAGUGGUUCAGGACAAGGACUAUUGGAGUUUCAAACAGAGAUUCAAGUCCUGUCGAGAAUCCGGCACAGGCACCUCGUUUCUCUAACGGGUUACUGCGAAGAGAACUCGGAGAUGAUCCUUGUCUACGAGUUUAUGGAGAAAGGUACGCUUAAAGAGCAUCUAUACGGCUCGGAUUUGCCUUCACUGACAUGGAAACAGAGACUAGAGAUUUGCAUCGGAGCAGCUAGAGGUUUGCAUUAUCUCCACAGUGGCUCAGAAGGAGCAAUCAUUCACAGAGAUGUCAAAUCCACAAACAUACUACUAGACGAGAACACCGUAGCCAAAGUCGCGGAUUUCGGGCUCUCAAACUCGCGGUUCGUAAUCAAGAUCCAAUCAAUAUCAGCACUAACAUCAAAGGAACAUUCGGUUACCUCGAUCCUGAGUAUCUGCAGACACACAUCUUGACGGAGAAAUCAGAUGUUUACGCUUUCGGAGUCGUUCUCCUCGAGGUCCUGUGCGCGAGAUCGGCUCUCGAUCCUUCUCUUCCUCACGAGGAAGUGAAUCUAGCGGAGUGGGCGAUGUUCUGCAAAUCCAAAGGGAUAAUCGAUGAGAUCUUAGAUCCGAAAUUGAUAGGUCAGAUCGAGCCGAGUUCGUUGAGGAAAUACAUGGAAAUCGCGGAGAAGUGUUUGAAAGAGUACGGCGACGAGAGGCCGAGCAUGGGGGAUGUGAUCUGGGAUCUGGAGUAUGUUCUUCAGCUUCAGAUGAUGCCGAUUCGCAGAGAGCCUCACGAGGAUAGCGCCGCGACGAUCUCCGGCGGCGGAGGCGAAAGCUCGUUGGUGAUUCCGAGGUUGAUGGUGAGUGAUUCGUUUAGCUCAAACUCGAUUGUUCAGAAGAACGAAGGGAAGAGUAGCUAUGGAGGUACAGAUUCAUCGGAGAGUCGAGUUUUCUCCCAAUUGAAGAUCUCCGAAGCAAGAUAAAAUUUCCUAUGAAACAUUCUGAUUUGAAAAGCGUCUGGUUUAAAGCUUUUGAUAUUAAAAACCGGUUAUUGCCGGUUUAAAUAUAAUCAUUUUAAAACAUAUGCAAAGUAACGAGUCAAUUGAAUGUAAUAUAAAAUUAAAACCCGGUUAUCGUCGGUUUAAAGUUAAUUAUUCUAAGACAAAUGCUAAUUUCCGAAUCGAAAAACAAUUCAAUUUAAUUAACCGAUAAAAACCUAAUUUCAAGAAAAGUUCUGAUUUGAUAAGUGAUUGGUUUAAUUUUUGAAAUUGAAACCCGGUUCCUGCCGGUAUAACGACUCAGCUGUUUGUGAUGUCGGCGAUGAACGAGUCCAGAUUCCGAGCCGAUGAUCCACCAGACGCCAACGCCGAUCUCGCCGCGUGCUUCAGCUCCGUCACUCUCCUCCUCAUAUCCGCGGCGGCAGAUCCUUCCCUCACGGCCUCAAUACAUCUCUCCACCUCUUCAACCUUAAGCUCUCCGUCGACAGCGUCGUUCCUCAUCCUCACUCCGAUCCCGAACACAUCCACAAGCAAUCUCGCGUCAAGCGGCUGAUCAAUCCAGCUCGGGUACGCCACCACCGGAACACCAGUCACCACCGUCUCCAUCGUCGAGUUCCAUCCACAGUGCGUGACGAAACAAGAGAUCGCCACGUGACUCAGUAUCCACUCUUGUGGACCCCACUCAAUCACAAUACCUUGACCUUCUCUAACCAUCUCCUGCAAAACGUCGACGUUUUCGCCUUUCUCCUUUGGCCUAAUCACCCAGAGAAACGAAACUCCUCUGUUUCUCAGAGCCGUUGCUAUGCUCUUAACUUGAGUCUCCGAAGAUUUCAGCAAACUUCCAAAAGAAAUGUAAACAACCGAAGACCUAGCUUGCUUGUCAAGCCACUCCAUACAAUACUCAUCCGAUUUCCACAUAUCAAGAUUUUUACCAUCUAGGGUUUUGUCUUCUUCAUCAGCUCCCAACAGAAAUGGAGAAACCAGAGGACCAAUUGGGAUCAUGGGUUUUAAACCAGACAUCGAUUCGAUUAUCUCUGAUUCGAGCUCGUAGAACGAAUUAACCAAAACCCAUUUCACAUCUUUCAAGCAAUCGACGAACUCCACCAUUAGGCUAUUGAAAUGACUUCCUGAAGAAGGCAAGAGAAACGAAGGGAGAUCUCCAACUUCCAACAAUGGUAAACCUGGCAAUUCAACCGUUUGAUUCAAAUCUUCGAGAUUCUCAGGGAAAGCAUUCGUCUUCAUGUAGUAACGGUAAUAAACCGAGAAAGCUCCACAAGCUUCGAUCCAGAGGAUUGCACAGGGGAUGUUAUAUGCAGCUGCAACACUUGGAACCCAUGGAGCAAAAGGCACAGUGACGAUGCAAGAGAAUCUCUUUGAUUCGACGAUUUUAGACAAGUUCUUGGCUCCGACUUUUUUCAACGAUGGUAUGAGAGAAUCUGCGGCUCUUGUGUGGUCUUUAGGCAGACCGUCGGGGAAGAAAGCAAGGUCCACUGGGCUACGGUGAUGUUCUUCGGCGGCGGUGGUGGUGGAGAGGAGGUCACGGGUUUUCUCGGUGGUAGCGAGAGUGAAGCUAAGGUUUGGUCGUGAGAGAUGUUUGGCGAAUUUGAGCAUUGGAUUAAGAUGACCUUGAAAUGGUAGUGCUACCAAUAGAACAUGUGUUUCUUGACCCUCACUAUUUCUCAUUUCUGCUUUGUUUAGAGGUGUUACUUAUUAGACUUGAGUUGUGUAUGAGAUUGUGUGUAACUUGUAAUUGUGGUGGUAUAUAUAACAAUGGUUGCUUAACGAUAGAUUUUUGCUUAAAAUGAAGUUAUUAAGUGAGAUUUUGGUAAGAAAAAUCUAUAUAUAGUAAAAAUUGGUAACCCAAUAAAAUGUAAUAGAUUCAAAAGUUACCACGUUUAUUAGCACCCUGCGCCUUGUCCUUAACUCAAUUCAAAUCUUGUAUAAUUGUUGACCAAAAAAACACGAUAUAUAUACCAAUUCUAGUAUGGUUAAAGUCAACAGUCAUUACUAAUGAUUUAUGAAUCUUUUUGUAUAGUGUGACACUGAGAUCAUUGUAAUUUGUUAAUGACAAUCUAUAAACUGUAAUUGGUAAUCCAAUAAACGUUGGUCAAUAAAUUCAAAUUUAAUCAUGUGUUUCUAUGCUCUUGUAAAUAAAUAAAUAUAUGUUAUUUUCAAUUGUGUUAUGGUUAUGAUUAGAUUUAUAUAAAAAAUAUGGUUAUGAUUAGAUUUAUAUAAAAAAAAACAGGUCUCAAUUCAUUCGGAUCAGUCUCGUUUGUAUCUGUCUCACUUUUAGAUUUGAAAUCCGUUAAGCUCUAUUUAGUUUUUGGAACUAACAGAGUAAUCGGUUUAUACAUGCCAAAAUUCUUUUAAUCUAUUUAAAACCAUUUACGAUAUGAUGCUUAAACAUUCUUAAUAUUUAUUUUAAAUUAUAUAAACUAAGCUUUUGGAAGCUAAUCAGAAGCUAACACACCAGUAUAAUUACCAUUGUUUUUUUAUUAAAUAAUAAUUACCAAUGUUUCAAGGCAUGCUUGAAUAUUCCACUAAGAAAAAUCAUCGAAAUUGUUUAUACUAAUCUAAAAUCCUAGCAAAGGUGGGUGAAUCUUUUUUUUUAAAUAGUUAUACAUAUUUUCGAGAUGACAAAAUUUAACAAUAUGAUAAAAUCAUAUGAACACUCGAACAUUUAUGUAGAUUUUAGUUAUGUUAUAUAUCCAAGAAGAAAUGAAUAAUAUUAAGUAACAUCUAUUACAAAUAACAUAUCAAUUGGUAACAUCAGAUGGCAAAUCAAAUAACAUCAUUACGUAGUAAAUUCAUGUGCAUGCGUUACUAGCUAAGCUUGUAUUCACUUUAUAAAAGAAAAUACAAAAUAGCAAUAGCAAUAAUGAAGGGAAGAGCAGCUACGGAGGUACAGAUUCAUUGAUCGAAGAGUCGAGUUUUCUCCCAAUUGAAGAUCUCUGAAGCAAGAAAACAAAUAAUCUCUUGAAUCCUUCUGAUUUAAAUACCGACUGGUUUUAACUUUUGAUAAUAAAAUCCGGUUAUUGCCGGUUUAAAUAUAAACAUUUUUUUAAGUCGACAAAAAAAAACAUUUCAAAACAGAUGUAAAGUGAGUCAACACUAUGAUCGAUGACUUUCUAGUUGAUGAGAAACGUGCACAAAAAGAAAAGGGUAACACUAUGAUCGAUCACUUGCUUUCUCUCCAAGAAACUCAACCAGAUUAUUAUACGGAUGUCAUCGUCAAAGGACUCAUAGUUGUAAGUAUUGAGGAAUACAUUUAAUACAUCACUAACAACUAACAAGGCUAACUAAGCUUUUUAUAAUGACUAAUUCUUGACUUCUAUUUGGAUAGGUUAUGAUAUUUGCCGGAAAUGUAACAAGAACGUUAGAAUGGGCGAUGCUAAAUCUGUUGAACCAUCCAGAAGUACUAAAGAAAGCGAGGAUUGAAAUCGAUACAAACAUUGGUUUGGACAGGUUAAUAGAUGAACAGGAUGCGAAAAGUCUUCCUUACCUCCAAUGCAUCAUAUCAGAGAUUUUUCGACUUUACCCGGCAGCUCCUUUACUUGCUCCUCAUAGGGCUACAGAUGAUUGUAUAGUUGGAGGCUACGACUUCCCUCUUGGCACGACAUUAAUCGUGAACGUAUGGGCCGGCCAUUCACCGAGACCCAAACAUAUGGUAAGAGCCAGAAAAGUUCAAGUUAGAGCGGUUCGAGAAGAAAGGAGAAGAACAAAAGUUGAUGCCGUUUGGAAUGGGACGACGAGCUUGUCCCGGGUCUGGUCUAGCUCAACGGGUCGUGAGUUUGGCUCUCGGAUCGAUGAUUCAAUGUUUUGAAUGGGAGAGACUUGGAGAAGAAUAUGUUGACCUAAGCGAAGCAACCACAAUGCGUCCAACGACGCCGUUGCUAGCCAUGUGUAGAGCUUGUCCUAUUGUUCAUAAGAUUUUCAAUACUUCUUUUUGAGAUGUCACUCCCUUUUUAAAAAAUAUGUAUAUCCAUUUAUGUUAUAUCCAUUUUGAGAUGUAAUUAAAAUGAAAGACAAAGACUAGUCUUUGAUUUGCCUUAAGAUUUUCCAUUUUAUUAAAAUUCAAAAACUAUUUUUUUUUUUCAAAAACCAAAAUUUAGAAGUUAAAUGCUACUCCAUUAUCAAAUAAACUCACUUCUAAAUUUCUAUGAAUGAGGAGUAGUUUUUUACUUUGAGAAAGUGUGAAGAAAUUUUUCCAAUUUCUUAGUUUUUGUUUGUUUUUUUUUGAGAAAGGGUUAAGAAAAGGGAGCUUGUUUUAUAAUGGAAUCUCUCAUGCAAUUAUUCCCACCUGUCACUAGAGAUAUGUUCGUAACUUCGUAACGUCUCAUGCAAUUACUGACUAAUAAACAUGUGUGAUAAGUCACCAUUAAUAUUUAUUGUCUAUUUCUUUUGCUUUUAAUUAUUAGGGUUUUGAGUAGAAAUUUGUUUCUUUCUAAUAUUAUAGACAAUAUAUAUUGCUAGCGUUUACGUUUUUUAUUUUGGUUCAAAACAUAGUGGUUAAAAAUAAACAAAUCAUAAAUUUUUAUUAUUAGUCAUUAAUGAAUGAGAGACGUUACGAACAUAUCUUUAGUUUAUUAAAAAAAAAAAAAGAUAUCUUUAGUGACAGGUGUGAUAAUUGCAUGAGAGUUUUCAUUAUAAACUAAGCUACAUAAACUAAUAACUCCCACGUUCGAUUCAACACAUUUACAACAAGAAGAAGUUCUUGAUCUAAAAUGGAAACUUAUUUUCUUAUUUUAUCCCUCGCCAUCUUCUUUUUCAUUUCUCUUAAACUUUUGUUUAAUAAACCGCAUAACAAGUUUAACCUACCACCAAGUCCGGCGAGGCCACUACCGUUGAUUGGACACCUUCACCUCCUGAAGCAGCCUCUCCACCGCACAUUCCUAUCUUUCUCUCAAUCCCUCGGCAGUGCCCCAAUUUUCUCCCUCCGUCUUGGAAACCGUCUCGCGGUUGUCGUCUCCUCCUACUCCAUCGCAGAAGAAUGCUUCACGAAAAACGACAUCGUUUUGGCUAACCGACCAGAGUCCAUAGUCGGGAAAUACAUUGAGUACAACUUCACCACUGUGACCAGCGCGCCUUAUGGUGACCACUGGCGAAACUUGCGGCGUCUCAGCACCCUCGAGAUCUUCUCCUCGCACAAGCUCAAUGGCUUUAUAUCCGUCCGUAAGGACGAGAUCCGACACUUGCUACUUCGUCUCUCCAAAAACUCGCAACAUGUAUGUGAGCUUCUACAUAUUAGUACUCUAUGACUAUAUACAUUAUCAGAGUUUGUAACCUAGUAGUUUGUCUUAGUGUGGCCUCUAGGUCAUAACCUAUAUAUAUACAUUACUUGAAGAUCUGCUCAGAGUUUGUAACCUAGUAGUGUGGCCACUAAAUUAAAAGUCAUAACUUGAGUACCAUGCAACAAAAGUUUGAGAAUUAAUCAUUUGUUUAUUUGAUAAUAAAUUAGGGGUUUGCCAAGGUGGAGAUGAGAUCAUUGUUUAUGGAUUUGACUAUCAAUAACAUUCUCAGAAUGAUGGCUGGGAAAAGAUUUUAUGGUGAUGGAACAGAGCAAGACGACAAUGCACGGCGAGUGAGACAGCUUAUUGACGAGGUGGUAUCCUACGCCGGCGCCGGGAAUGCUACCGAUUAUAUCCCAAUCUUGCGUUGGAUCACAAGUUUUGAGAAACGGGUCAAGAACUUAGCGGGUCGGGUCGAUGAGUUCUUGCAGAGCCUGGUGGAUGAAAAACGUGCGGAUAAAGAAAAGGGCGACACUAUGAUGGAUCACUUGCUUUCUCUCCAAGAAAUCCAGCCUAAUUAUUACACAGAUAUCACUCUAAAGGGGAUUAUAGUUGUAAGUAUUUAUUUUCUACAUUUAUUAAUCUUGAAUAAUCUAUUUAAUAUAUAACAACACAAACUAAACAUUUGUUAAUUUAAUUUUUACAGGUUAUGAUACUUGCCGGAACUGAAACACUAACAGGAACAUUAGAAUGGGCUAUGUUGAAUUUGUUGAAUCAUCCAGAGGUAUUAACGAAAGUAAGAACCGAAAUCGAUACCAAAAUCGGUUUUGACCGGUUAAUAGAUGAACAAGAUAUUAAAAAGCUCCCUUAUCUCGAAGGGAUUGUGUUGGAGACCUUACGUCUCCACCCUGUAGCUCCUACACUUGUUCCACAUAUGACGUCAGAUGAUUGCAUGUUGGCCGGAUACGAUGUUCCAAGUGGAUCCAUGCUAUUGGUGAACGUAUGGGCCAUGCAUAGAGACCCGUCUCUAUGGGAAGAUCCAGAAAUGUUCAAGCCAGAGAGGUUCGAAAAUGAAAAUGAAAAUCAAAAGGUGUUGUCGUUUGGGAUUGGACGACGAUCAUGUCCCGGGGUUGGAUUAACUCAUCGGCUAGUGAGCUUGGCUCUUGGAUCGAUGGUUCAAUGUUUCGAAUGGGAGAGAAUUGGAGAAGAAUAUAUUGACACUAGAGAGGCACCUAUGAUGCGUCCAACUACCCCGUUGCAAGCCAUGUGUAAAACUUGUCCCAUUGUCCAUAAGAUUCUCGAUGCUUAUGCUUGAAUUGUAACUCUUCUUGGUUUGAUUUAUGUUCGGAAAUACUACAUCAACUUGUUUUGAGUUGGGAAAUAAUUCAAAAUCCUUCUAAGAACGCUCUCAUGCAAACUGUUGAAUGUAUCUUCAAGGUUCUGAUCACCAUCUAGCUGAGUCUUUACGGAAAAUUAGAUCGUCACUAAAUAUUAUCAUUUUACCUUCGAAUAUAUUGAUUUUGUUGCCCUGAUGAUACACUUGAAAUAAAUAAAAAACAACCAUAGAGACACUCAAAUAAAAAAAAAGCUCAUAGCUUUAAAAUUUCUUGUAUAUUUUGAAACUAAAAUUAAGCUAUAUUACUUAUACUGAUAUUCCAUUUCUUCACAGUAUGAUCUAAUGAUUUUUGCAAUCCUCUAUGCUUUUGUUGUUGCAAUUAUACUUAUAUCUCCAUUUCAUUACAGUAUGAUAUAUAUAUAUAUAUAUAUAUUGUAAGUUUUGCAAUCCUCUACAUAUCAUUCUUCCCACAGCUCUAUCUGAAAAUUCCAUAUAUAUGUUCAACUUAUCUCUCUUCGUGUGUUGUGAAUUGUGUAUUAGAUUUGAGUAUUACAUUUGUACUUUUACAAUUCUUUUUUUUUUUUAUAAUCUUGAAGUGCUCUAGGAAUUAUAAUUAUUAUAUCAUGUUGGAUUUUUAAGAAUUUUGGUUUUUAUGAUAUUUUGUAAAAAAUUAGAGAGUGAUGUGUUUCUAGGGACAAAAGACGAAGACUUGAAAAAUCAACCCUCGUCUUUUUCCUCAUCGUCCCAUUAGAAAUCUCAGUUUUCUCUUCAAUCUUAUCUUCUUCCUCAGAAUCCUCUUCACAUCGACCACAGGUUUCUUCAUCCAUCGACUUAUUGAAAUUUCUUGUAGUAUAAGUUAAACCAAAAUGUGUGGAAACUAUUCAACACAAAAGACUUUUCACUCUCUUCUUUCAACGUGAAUAACACUUCGUACGAAGGACUAAAUGGUGAGCCAAGCGAAGCUGAGUGGAUAUGGAGCACUGACUAUAUGUAUUUAAAGAGAUGGCAUGAAAACAAUUUAACCAUCACAAUUUCCAUUUGCUCGCUUCUUUUUCACUAUUGAUUUUCAAGAAAGUUAAAAAUUAGCUUAAAGAAAAAACGAAAGGCUCUUGAAACUCAAUGAGUACCAUUCAUAUUUCUCUUUCUUUUCUCCUCUUGUUCGUUUUUAGUUUUCAUGACGUGUUUGCUGCUCCUACUAGACACUUGUGUCGUCCGGAGCAAAGGGAUGCACUUCUCGAGUUCAAGAAUGAGUUUGAGAUUCGGAAGCCUUCUUUUGAGUGUUAUGUUAAUGGUAGCUAUGUGCGCCCUUACCCGAAGACGGAGUCAUGGGCAAAUAACACUGAUUGUUGUUAUUGGGAUGGGAUCAAGUGCGAUGCCAAAUCUGGGGAAGUGAUCGAGCUAGACCUCAGUUGCAGCUGUCUCUACGGCAAGUUUCGUUCCAAUACCAGUCUGUUUAGGCUUCACAGCUUUCGUUUUCUCACCACUUUAUACGUUUCAUAUAAUGAGUUACAUGGUCAAAUCCCGUUCUCAAUUGGAAAUCUUUCUCUUCUUACUUCUCUCGACCUUUCUUCCAAUGGGUUUUCGGGUCAGAUUCCAUCUUCAAUUGGAAAUCUAUCACUGCUUACCUUUCUGAGACUUUCUGAUAAUCAGUUUUCGGGUCAGAUUCCAUCUUCAAUUGGAAAUCUUUCACAGAUUACCACUCUCCGUUUUUCCUUUAAUCAGUUUUCGGGUCAGAUUCCGUCUUCAAUUGGAAAUCUUUCACUUCUUACCUCUCUUGAUCUUUCUUCCAAUCAGUUUUCGGGUGAGAUUCCAUCUUCAAUUGGAAAUCUUUCACUGCUUACCUCUCUCUAUCUUUCUUUCAAUCAGUUUUUGGGUCAGAUUCCAUCAUCAAUUGGAAAUCUUUCACUGCUCACCUCUCUCCAUCUUUCUUAUAAUGGGUUUUCGGGUGAGAUUCUAUCAUCAAUUGGAAAUCUUUCACUGCUCACCUCUCUUCAUCUUUCUUAUAAUGGGUUUUCGGGUGAGAUUCCAUCCUCAAUUAAAAAUCUUUCACAGCUCACCUUUCUCAAACUUUCUUCCAAUCAGUUUUCGGGUCAGAUUCCAUCUUCAAUUAAAAAGCUCUCUCAUCUCCAAACUCUUCACCUCAGAUAUAACAAAUUCACUGGUGAAAUCCCAGAUUCUUUUGCCAGUUUGAAAAAUUUGACCGAGUUAGAUGUUAGUUUCAAUAAGCUUAGUGGUAAUUUUCCAAUUUGGCUACUAAAUUUGACAAAGUUGUCGUAUUUAUCACUCGAAUACAAUCAACUCACAGGAACGCUUCCCUCAAACAUUAGCUCACUCUCCAACUUGCGAUAUUUUUGGGCACGUGACAAUGAUUUCGUUGGAACCAUUCCUUCUUCUCUCUUCACCAUUCCUUCUUUGACAAGAAUUUAUUUGUCAAAUAACCAACUCAACGGCACUCUUGAGUUUGGGAAUAUAUCUUCACCAACAAAGCUAGAGUGGUUAGAGCUUGGCGGUAACAACUUGAGAGGGCCAAUACCGAGAUCCAUUUCCAAAUUAGUCAACCUCCGGGGACUUUACCUUUCCAAUUGGAACACCCAAUUAGGCCCAAUUGACUUGAGUAUCUUCUCGCAUCUCAAGUCACUCGGAUUUCUUUACUUAUCCCAUUUGAACACCACCACCACGAUUGACUUGAAUGCCAUCUUAUCAUUUUUCAAGUCGCUCGAAGGAUUGGAUCUCUCAGGCAACCAUGUUUCAGCCGAAACCAAGAGCUCAGUUUCAGAUCCUCCUUCGCAAAUGAUACGAGAAUUAAACUUGUCAGGCUGCGGUAUUACCGAAUUUCCAGAGAUCAUAAGAACCCUGCAGUCUAUGGAGAGACUAGACAUUUCCGACAACAAAAUCAAAGGUCAAGUGCCUGGCUGGUUAUGGACUCCACCAAAUCUGACGUACGUGAAUCUUUCCAACAACACUUUCGUCAGUUUCGGAAGACCAACGAAACAUGGACUAUCCUCUGGCUUGUGGUACUUGUCUGGCUCCAGAAACAAUUUCACGGGAAAGAUUCCCUCCUUCAUAUGUGCGUUGGGCUCUCUAAGCGUUCUCGAUUUAUCUGAAAACAACUUCACGGGAAAGAUUCCCUCCUUCAUAUGCGCGUUGGGCUCUCUAAGCGUUCUCGAUUUAUCUGAAAACAACUUCAAUGGUUCAAUCCCUCUUUGUAUGGAGAAUCUCAAGAGUAAUCUUUCGGUUCUAAACCUCCGUCAGAAUCAUCUUAGCGGAGGCCUUCCGGAGAAUGUAUUUGAAAGUCUAAGGUCCCUUGACGUUGGUCAUAACCAACUGGUGGGAAAGCUUCAAAGAUCUUUGAUCCAUUUCUCUGCCCUUGAAGUUCUAAAUCUGGAAAGCAACAGAUUCAACGACACCUUUCCGUUUUGGUUGAGUUCUCUACAAAACCUGCAAGUUCUUGUCUUACGCUCCAAUGCAUUCCAUGGACCGAUUCAUCGAGCCUCCUUCCUUCAGCUGAAAAU
rnacentral:lncRNA from 1 species